rnacentral:rRNA from 2 species
CCUACGGGAGGCAGCAGUGGGGAAUAUUGGACAAUGGGCGAAAGCCUGAUCCAGCAAUGCCGCGUGAGUGAUGAAGGCCUUAGGGUUGUAAAGCUCUUUUACCCGGGAUGAUAAUGACAGUACCGGGAGAAUAAGCCCCGGCUAACUCCGUGCCAGCAGCCGCGGUAA